GCUGAGGGGCGGGGCCCAGGCCCGGAAGGGGCGGGGCCAGGCCUGGAGCGUCGGAGCGCCAAGCCGGGCCGUGGCGCUUUCUUUUCCGCUUGGCCGCGGGAGAAGGAAGGGCUUUGAGGCUCCGUCUGCCUUACGGGAGUGGCGGCAACGCCCGCGGACACGUCUCCCGGCUCUUCGAGGGGGGAAGUCCCCGCGGAGUUAGAUCAUUUUCUAUUUCUUCCGGGAACCCGACUCCGUGCCAGAGUCUAUAAGUCGGCCUCGGGCCACUCCGCCUUGUGCGUUCCGCCCCGGGGCCCCCCAUCCCGAUGGCCUCCGUCCAUUGCCCGGCACAGCCCAGCGGUCGGCGCGGCCUAGGCCUCCAAGUCAUCCCAGGAGGCCACCUUCCCCUCCCCCACCCGGUUGACGCCGCCUCGAGCUCUCCUCCGUGCUUCUGCUCAAUCGCAUUUUGCUCUAGAGACGUGGCACUGAAGUUGCAGAACAAUCCGUAGGGGUUAGAAGACCCUUGGGCUAUAAAUGCCGGCUGUAGCCUUAGAUGCUUGGAUUUACGUAGAGAUGUGUAUUCUGAACUUGAUACAGAAGAAACUGGUCAAGAGCUGGAAGACCUUUUGUCUGUUUAAAAGCACAGUUGUAAGUACUCGUCGAUGAGACUUACUAUAGUCAGGUGUUUUGUUUUUUUCUCUCCCCCCGACUUGAAAUACAUGUUUUUUCAUCUCAAACAAUUCCAACAGUUAACUUUGACCAGGGCAAAUGUGAUGGCUUGAAGUAACUUAUAUUUGGCAUUUCAGCCAUUCUUUUUGAGGCAUGGUGACUGGAACCCUAUUUUCAUUGCUAAGUGUUGGAAUUUUUUAAAACUUUACAAAAUAACCGUUUGAUUAAAAUUUUGAUAAUUUAUGUAAGUCCUUAAGAAUAAUUAAGGCUUCCCAGGUGGCGCAGUGGUAACGAAUCCCCGGGUCGGGAAUAUCCCAUGGAGUAAAAUAUGGCAACCCACUCCAGUAUUCUUCUCUGGAAAAUUCUAUGGACAGAGGAGCCAGGCGGCUUACAGUACAUGGGGUCGUAAACAGUUGAAUACGACCGAGCAACUAACACACACAAGCAUAAGAAACACACAAGAGUCCAGUGAUCCAUUUAAGAACUGGAAUAUUAUUGAUACCAUAACAUCCAUUUGCUUCCCUUUCACAUUCCUUCUCUCCUGAGGUGCCCAUCAUCUGGGAUUUUGUGUCUAAACUUGGUUUUUUUUGAGGGGAGUAGAGUGGAUAACAGUAUUAUACAUACAUAUCCCUAAGUGUUGGUUGUUUCAGGCCUUAAAUAGAACUUGUAUGUAGUUGUCAGAAGUGUUAUGAAUCAUAUAUUAAACUGAAGUUUUCCAAGUUGAAAAUAUUCAUAACCAGUAGUUUGUGUUCCUAAUAUUAUGUGAAAUAUCUCAGCAUUUCAAGACUUGAAAGUGAUAAAUUGUUUUGCAAGGCCCAGCAUUUGUUAUGUCCUCAUAAA
ensembl:lncRNA